UUAAGAGGUAGUUUAGGUCUAGAAUAUUUGUUUUGGGGAUAAAAGGUCCCAUUUUAGGGUCUCUUAAGCCA
rnacentral:tRNA from 1 species